AACUCACUUUCUGUCUGCAGGCAGUCGGGACUCAGCCAGCUGGGACUCUUAGCAGAUCUUAGCCGCUCAGGUGGAAGCAAGCUCUCCCCCUCCACCCAGCAGAGGCAAUUCACAGAGAGUCCGGGGAACUGCUCCUUCUAAAGGGUGCAAUCCUCCCCAAAUCUCUCUUACCUUGAGCCUGCUGAGUCCUCCUUGAGAUCUGAUGCUCUCAGAUGGAACCAGGAGCUCCGCCAGAGCUGUUGCAAUGGAAGAGGACUUUCAGAGUAUUGAAGAGAAGAAUAGAUUUGGAUGAUCGAUGAGCAUAUAUUGGUAUCUGCCAGUAUCCUUUGCUUCCAGGAUCUGUUCUUGGCAAGAAUGGCAUUGACAUAUGGCUACAGAUGUGAAUUCUCAGGUACUGCUCCAACACCAUGUCUGCCUGCCUGCCUGCCUGCUGCUAUGCUCCCCACCACGAUGAUGAUGGACUUUUAUCACUCGGAACUUAUCCAUUGCUGCUCUGAAACUCUGCACUUGCCGAAGAAGACAUCUGAAAAGCUAUAGGACACUUGGAGGCCUUGGCAGAUGACCUGGGCAGGGUUCCUACAACCUCUAUGGCAGCUCACAACCACAGCCUGCAGUUCAUGAAGACGCGCCCUCUGGGCUGGCAGCCCGACAGUACCUCAUAGCACUUAGUAAGUUUCCCAUGAGCUGAUGGAUCUGCUGCCUUUUUUACCCUUCCUGCUGCAGCUACUGUAGAAGACUCAUGUGCCUCGUUCAUCGUCUCAUGUGAAACACAAAGCACCAGACCUGAGAUCUGAGAGUCAUUUGAUGAUUUCUUCCCACCUCCCUUCCCAUCCAGAUCCACAC